UCUUGAUCUCCAUCAUUCUGAUCUCCACAUCUCCUCUAACCGUCCCCCCAGCAGAACCCUGACCCUAAUGCUAAAGACCCCACCUACACAGCUCUCCAGCGCAGAACCAGGUCCUCUGAUGAUGAGUACCAGACUCUCGCAGCUGCUCAGGCCAGGUCUACUGACGACACCUAUGAAGCUCUGGACCCUCAGUCCAGGUCUCCAGAGUACGAGACUCUAGCAACGCUGAGAAUCCAACACUGAGAAGAAGAUCAGCCUGGAGAAUGAUCUCACCUGCUGAAGAGAGGCAGAUUUAUUCUAUUAUACAUUACUGUUUAUUCUAACUCUCUUUUCUUCUGCUCUUCUUUCUCUUCUUUUGUU